ACGCUGGCGGCACGCCUAACACAUGCAAGUCGAACGAAGUAGCAAUACUUAGUGGCAGACGGGUGAGUAACAUGUAGGUAUCUGCCCUUUGGCCUGGAAUAACACGAGGAAACUUGUGCUAAUACUGGAUAAGUCUUUACGGAGAAAGCUUUAUGCACCAUUGGAUGAGCCUGCACUUGAUUAGUUUGUUGGUGGGGUAAUGGCCUACCAAGACUGUGAUCAAUAGCUGAUUUGAGAGGAUGAUCAGCCACAUUGGGACUGAGACACGGCCCAAACUCCUACGGGAGGCAGCAGUGGGGAAUCUUGCACAAUGGAGGAAACUCUGAUGCAGCGAUGCCGCGUGAGUGAAGAAGGCCCUUGGGUUGUAAAGCUCUUUCGUCGGGGAAGAAAAUGACUGUACCCGAAUAAGAAGGUCCGGCUAACUUCGUGCCAGCAGCCGCGGUAAUACGAAGGGACCUAGCGUAGUUCGGAAUUACUGGGCUUAAAGAGUUCGUAGGUGGUUGAAAAAGUUGGUGGUGAAAUCCCAGAGCUUAACUCUGGAACUGCCAUCAAAACUUUUCAGCUAGAGUAUGAUAGAGGAAAGCAGAAUUUCUAGUGUAGAGGUGAAAUUCGUAGAUAUUAGAAAGAAUACCAAUUGCGAAGGCAGCUUUCUGGAUCAUAACUGACACUGAGGAACGAAAGCAUGGGUAGCGAAGAGGAUUAGAUACCCUCGUAGUCCAUGCCGUAAACGAUGUGUGUUAGACGUUGGAAAUUUAUUUUCAGUGUCGCAGCGAAAGCGAUAAACACACCGCCUGGGGAGUACG
rnacentral:rRNA from 1 species